CCUACGGGAGGCAGCAGUGAGGAAUAUUGGUCAAUGGACGAGAGUCUGAACCAGCCACGUCGCGUGAAGGAUGACUGCCCUCUGGGUUGUAAACUUCGUUUAUAUGGGAAUAAAAUGUUCCACGUGUGGGGUUUUGUAUGUACCAUAUGAAUAAGGAUCGGAUAACUCCGUUCCAGUAGCCGCGGUAAUACGGAGGAUCCGAUCGUUAUCCGGAUUUAUUUGGUGUAAAGGGAGCGUAAGUGGAUUGUUAAGUCAGUUGUGAAAGUUUGGGGCUCAACCGUAAAAUUGCAGUUGAAACUGGCAGUCUGGAGUGCAGUAGAGGUGAGCGGAAUUCGAGGUGUAGCGGUGAAAUGCUUAGAUAUCACGAAGAACUCCGAUGGCGAAGGCGGUUCACUGGCCUGCAACUGACGCUGAGGCUCGAAAGUGUGGGUAGCAAACAGGAUUAGAUACCCGUGUAGUC
rnacentral:rRNA from 1 species